ACAAAAGAAUGAGGAGGAGAUGGGAAAUGGAUUCUCUAGACAGGCAGAAGCUAAAAUCAAAGACCAGCUUAUUGCUUGGAGUAAUUCCUCACCCGACUCUCCCUCCACAGGGUUUUCCAUCAGGACCUGUCUGGAAAUGUCCCAAACUUCAAGGACAUUUGACUGAGGCUGAUCUGGGGCCUACAGGAUGCUCCUUCCCACAUCACAUAGUGCUUGCUUUAAAAGAAUAAAUAUUUUUCUUGUUUUUUUUUUUUGAGAAAGGGUUCCAGCUGGCAUUAAACUCGUGGUAGACCCCUGCUUUGGCCUCUCCAAUACUGCGAUUAUAGGCAUGAGCCACCAUGCCUAGCCCAGCUUGCUAUUUACUUUACUCACCCCACCCCAGCCUCCCACAGUCUAGUACUUUAUGAAGGAUAUGUCAGCCACGGUAAAGAGUGAUGGUCCCUGUGCUUGUUACAUUCUGCUCCUGAAGCCUGAAGCCUUUUGACAAAGAAAAUAAUCCAUCAUCAAACACAGGACAGGAAUGAUGUGCUGGUCCUUGUGCCAGAGAUAAAGAAAGGAAGCUUUUCUCCUGCUACUGUCAUGCUGGGACUAGCAGAAAUGUGGUGGAAAUGGUGUCAUUGUAAAUCUUCAAGUAUGCUAGGCUUGGAAUUUCAAAAGUGAGAGAGUGAGGGGCUCUCUCCCCAACCCCUCCCAGCCCCCCAUUUCUUGUUGCUGUUCUAAGAUUCCAGAGAUAUUGUGGAUACACUGCAUGGAAAAUUGUUCAAGAUGAAGAAAUGGGACCUGAGAGUUGAUCAGCCCAUGUCACAAGCCCGGUAAGAAGGAGCCAGAAUCUCAAGUCAGCCCAGUUUGAGUCCAGCAGUCUUGAGCGCAGUACUCCCCCAAACACACAUAUGAAAAGACUUUGUGUUAAUGUCACCAGCAGCAGGAGCAGGGGGCCUCCACUUAUACUGUCAUGUCUUCAGCUCGAGUUCUUUGCACUGCCCUCUGUUCAAGCCAGCAUCUUGACUUACAGAAAAUAGAAGUCAGCAUGAAGCAAAACUAAUGUUUAUUAAGUGAAUACAUACUAAUAGUUAAGUGUGCAUGUGUGUUAGAGAGAGGGGGAUGGGAGGCUUAAGAGAACGAAAGGGAGUGCAGGCUCCUCCCAUGGGAAACUUCAAUGGGGGGCGAUAUUUCUGAGUUAAGGGAGGGGGGAUUCCAGAAAUGGGUCAGGAUUUUCCUAGAACAUGAUUUAUUCUCCUUUCUAUCCUUAUAUUGGGUUUGCCAAAUAUUUCAUAUGUCAGAUGCAGGAUGACAAUGUCAUUUUAAUGAAAUAAAGUAUACCUAGUAGUCAUCUUA